rnacentral:lncRNA from 1 species
AAAGAAUACAUCUGGCUUCCUGAGCAUAGUCCAUCGCGGAGGAAAUUCAGGGCAGGAGUUUAAGCAGGAACUUAGAGCAGAGACCAGGCAGGAACACCGCUUACUGGAUACUGAAUAAUUUGGACUCCGUAGAAAGUUUGCAACAACUACUUGGGCGACUGAAAAAUCAGAAAUAUUAAGAGAGAGAUCCAGAAACCAUUUGCCCUGGGAACUGUUACCAGGUGAACACGCUUAUAACUGGUGGUGAAGAAAUUUCACCAGAAACCAGCAGCUUCUCAGAAUGUCACAUGCCAACCCCAGCACUGCCAAUCGACUACAACUUGGUUUCAUUAUGAAGACCAGGCUGGCCUUGAACUCAGAAAUCCACUUGUGUCUGCCUCCUGAGUGCAAAGAUUAAAGGUGUGAGUCACCACUCCUAGCUCCUUGCAUUUCUUUACGAUUUUUUUCAGCUAAGUAUACAUCCUUAGAUUCUAAAGUUGGUUUUACCCAUUUUUGUAAAAAUGGUCUUUUGUUUCUUCUUUUUUUUCCCCCAAGUUGAUUCUUCCCACUUUCACAGUUAUUUGUCAUUAAAAACUGAGGUAAACAUUUUCUGCAAACUAACCUAUGCACACAAAAGUCACAUUUUUAAAUUAGGUUUGUUCUUUGGCAAUUUCACACAUGUAUAGACUGCAUUUGUGAUUACUCUCACCUCCUUUCUUCUCUUAUCUCCCUCUCACCUUUAUCAAUCCACUCCACCCACCCUCCCCAAAUCCUGUUGGGGUUUGCCCUGGGGUUAUCUGUAUUUUGAUGCUAGUUCCACUGCCCCAAGGACAGCUGCCUGGUCACUCAGGUGACUUCACCAGAACCUUCUCCCCAUUGAAUUUGUAAAAUACAGGUGAGGGGCAGGUACAGGAUAGAAGGAGGCCUGUCAUUGGAGGAGAAGGAAGGAUGGGCGGGAGAGAAGUUUGAAGGAAGAGGAGGAGACUGGAACAGAAAGGAGAAGAAACAGGAGGGAGAGGGGAGAAGCCAUGGCAGGUGACGUUAAGAUUCCGCUCUGUGUAUUUACAGGUUGUUAUUAAUGUUCUUAUUAAGGGAUGGAUGGUACUGGGAUUUGUAUGUUUAGGUAGGCAAUUAUAUCUUAUCAAUUGG